rnacentral:lncRNA from 1 species
UCGUCUAAAGCAAAUUCUUCCAGUUGAAAUGAUUGCAAGGUUGCAUGACUUAUCCAUAAAAAUACUCUAUAGUAAUGUUGCUGCAAAUGAAAAGAAAAGCAAUUUGACCAUUCAACUUCACUUACAGGGGGGACACAGAUUUCAGUCUCAAUUACUACUCAAUAGCAAAGCAAAGAAAGAAGAAGAAAUCAGGGGAACCCCGUUGGCACCAAACACACAAGCAGAGAAGGCUUCCAUCAUUUCCUGCAGUAGUAUUGAGCUGGGCAUCCGCGAGUGUAGGGUUCUCCAGGCUGACUGGGCAUCCGCGAGUGUAGGGUUCUCCAGGCUGACUGGUUUGAAGCGCAUGUCUAUCCGGAAUCAAAGCUCCAUAAGUUAUGAAACCCGAGGUGGUGGUCUGGAGAAGCCUCCUCCCAAUCUCCGAAUUCAUAGCCCACUCCGCCUCCACUCCGUGGCACCUCUCCAUGGGACCAUUGCAAGCCUGGUGACCGAUCACUACAGCUCUCGUUCCAGCACAAGAGAUGAGAACUAGGAGUGCAACACACAAAACGAAACCAGCUUUCCCCAUUUCAACUCCCAUUCUUUCCUGGCCUUCUGGCUAGCUUUUAUCAUCUAUUGUUAAGGGUGGCAACGGGUCGGAUAUGGAUCGGGUCGACCGAUAUCCAUAAUCAUCCCAUCAACAAAAAAUCCAUAUCCAUACCUGUUCCGUACCUAUCUCGGAUCAGGUCAGGCUCCGAGAAUGGAUCAGGUUGGAUCGGAUCGAGCUCCAAGAAUGGAUCA